rnacentral:lncRNA from 1 species
GUGAUCUUUACUCCUGGUGUCACACCCCUGAGGGCCUCCCUCCUACACUGAAUUAGGGCUGCCACUGUCCCUCAUACUUGCCUGUGACCCUGCCUUUGGAGGACACGUUUCUGCAGCUCAGCCUUGGCACCCCUUUGCACAAGCUGGUGGCAUUGGCCCCUCUGCUGACAAGACACUGAAGAAAGUCCUAUUACCUUCUUUUAGAGAACCAAAGAAGGAGAGGGGGUUCGCUUUAUUCCUGCCAAGGGACAGUCAGGUUAGUACUGUCAACCGUCAUGGUGGGAAAAUGGACAUGGACAACCCAGAGAGGCCAGCAGCCGACAGUCUGCAUAACUGAUAGGACCCGGCUGUGGACCCUAGGAGAGUCGAGGAAAGUCUUCCUUCUCCUACACUUUAUCCGGGGCAUCGAUUCCUUACCUUCUAUGCCUGGCUGUCUCCUCUACCACAUGCUUCAUCCUCAGGAUGAGAACUGCUUUAUGAAAACCAGAAGGCUGGAAAGUCUGUCUAAUUUACACAGUCCCAGACAAUGAAUCUAAGAUGGAUAGAAGGAAGAAAGAAUUCUUUCCUCUCCUACCCCAGCAGUUGGGAAGACUAGAAAAGUUCAGAAGGAGAGGGCUGGCUGCCCCUGCUCCUAAUCUGAUGGGCCUUGACAUUGCACAAAGGAGCCUCUGGAGGGACUGGAAG